rnacentral:sRNA from 1 species
AUCCUUAGAAGAUUUUUGUUCUUCUUUAAAUUCAUUUUCAAUGAGUGAAUCCAAACGAGAUCUGUCCACCUCAACUUCUAGAGAGGGAACACCGCUUAACAACAGUAAUUCUUCCCUUUUACUUAUGAAUGGACCAGGUAGUUUGUUUGCUUCAGAGAAUUUCCUGGGAAUUUCAAGUCAGCCUAGAAAUGACUUUGGAAACUUUUUUGGAAGUGCAGUUACCAAACCACCUUCAUCAGUGACUCCAAGACAUCCCCUUGAAGGAACCCAUGAAUUGAGACAAGCUUGCCAGAUCUGUUUUGUAAAAUCAGGCCCUAAGUUAAUGGAUUUCACUUACCAUGCUAACAUAGAUCAUAAGUGUAAGAAAGAUAUUUUAAUCGGUAGGAUAAAGAAUGUUGAAGAUAAAUCAUGGAAAAAAAUACGUCCAAGACCAACAAAAACAAAUUAUGAAGGACCAUAUUAUAUAUGUAAAGAUGUUGCUGCUGAGGAGGAAUGUAGAUAUUCAGGCCACUGCACGUUUGCUUAUUGCCAAGAGGAGAUAGAUGUGUGGACACUGGAGCGGAAAGGAGCAUUCAGCCGGGAGGCUUUCUUUGGCGGCAAUGGAAAGAUUAACCUUACUGUGUUCAAACUUCUCCAGGAGCAUCUUGGGGAAUUUAUAUUCCUUUGUGAGAAAUGUUUUGAUCAUAAGCCUAGAAUGAUAAGUAAAAGAAAUAAAGAUAAUUCUACUGCUUGUUCUCACCCGGUUACAAAGCAUGAGUUUGAAGACAAUAAGUAUGUUGAUAGUUUCUAAUUUCUGUAAUGACAAAAUAGAUUCUUUUUCUAGAUCUGAAUAAAAACUAGUAGUAAUGUCUGUCCAGGC